rnacentral:rRNA from 1 species
AUGCCCCUAGACUUCACCAAGAACUUCUCGGCCGUGCCGACGGAGUUCAAGCUCAAGAUGAACACCGGAUGCUCAUGGAGGGUAAUUAUGAGGCUGAUGAACGGCAGGGUCACCCUCGAUCAGGGUUGGGCCACCUUCACUGUUGUCCACCAAAUCAAGAUCGGGUACAUGGUGACCUUCAAGUUGCUGACUCCCGACACGCUCAAGGUCAUCAUCUUCAACGACGAUGGCAUUGAAGUGGUGACCAAGUGCGGGAGGCACGGCAAGGCCCUUGCCGUGAACGUCUAG